rnacentral:lncRNA from 1 species
GCUCCCCUUGUGCAUCUCUCACGCAUGGCGGCACAACGUUUCUGUCAACAAGCCUUUGGUCCCGCUUCUCCCGCGGAGGCCCCGGAGCUCUUUGCGCUCUUCUCCUGCUCACCCUGCUCCACACCCCCCUCGUCUCCGGUGGCAGCUCCCUGCUCUCCUGAUCAUGCCUUCUCCACGGCAAGUUCCGAGACCGCAGCAUCCUGGGGUCCCACAGGGAAACGGACGCGUCGGUGCUGCACGUGGGUUUACCUGGGCUGGUUGCUGACAUCCUUCGAUUAGCCUCCAACGGCUUUUGGAGGCCGGGAAGACAACCGGUGAAGUCACUUAUGGACCCCAGGUUCUAUUUAAAAAUAGCUCCAUUUCUAGAAGCUGGUGUCCAUGCAUACUUGCUGUGAUUCAAUUUUAAAACAGAAAAGCAAUAUUUUUUUUUUUCCAGAAAACCUUUAUCAACUUGACAGAUAUAGAAGGAGUAUUUUCAGUUGAGCAGGCUUAUCACUUCAGAAGGCAGGCAGAACUCGGGUGAAGUUCCCUCUCUUUGUUUGAUUGUUACUAUAAAAAUAUGGAAUCAAUAUUUCACACUAGAGAAUGAUGUUUAUAAAAUGUAUUGUUCUGUGUGGAUAUACCCCCAAUUAAUAUUUUAUAGGAACAAGGCACUCUUAAAAAACCGAUUUGGACUUUCAUUAGUUUCAUCGUAUCUGUGAAUACUUUCAGUGCAAGGCUUUCUCAAUAUUUGCCCAAACUCUUACCAGCGUGAGCAUUUCUAGAAAGAUCAUGGUUUUCCUUCUGUCUGUGUGUGGCCUUGAUGGAGACAGCCACGCCAGCUGGGGGGGCAUAUUUGUGUAAGCCAGAUUCCGUCUUGACUUGGGCAAUGAACACAUGUGUCCUCUGGAACAGUCACCCGAGAUAUCAGCCUCCCGUCAGAAUCUGAAUCAUGCAGGACGUGGACAUCAUGACUUGCCGUCAGCAGGUCGUAGGCUCUCCUGUUCCCUCCUCAUUUGCAAGGCCCAUGACUGAGGCUCUUGGGUUCACUUCUUUUUUUCUCUCCAUGCAGCUGCGCUCAACUGCUUUCAGAAGAGCCCGGAUCAGGUGUCUGGAGUCUGGAUGGCGACCCGCUGGCCAGGGAGGCUAUGAUCCCAUGCUUGGGCUGGCCUGCACGGUGGGGCCAGGAGGCGUGGAGACACGGGCCCAGGAGGAGAAGUCACAGGGCGGUGGAGUCAUUCAAGUGCUGUAA